GAUGAACGCUGGCGGCGUGCUUAAUACAUGCAAGUCGAGCGGACGGACCCUACUCUUGCUUCUCUGUUGUUAGCGGCGGACGUGUGUGUCACACGUGUAUCACCUACCUAUCAUUCUGGUAUCACUUCGGGACACCGGCUCUAAUCCCGUAUAAUAUUUUGCUGCGCAUGGUUCAAAAGUGAAAUACGGUCUUUCUGUCACUUAUAGAUGCUUCCGCGCUGCAUUAGCUAGUUGUUAAGUUAACGGCUUACCAAGGCAACGAUGCAUAGACGACCUGAGAGGGUGAUAGGCCACACGGGAAGUGAGACAGGGACAAGACGCCUAAGGGAGGCAGCAGUAGGGAAUCUGACGCAAUGGGCGAAAGCAUGACGGAGCAAGGCCGCGUGAGUGAUGAAGGUCUUCGGAUCGUAAAGAUCUGUUAUUAGGGAAGAACAUAUGUGGAAGUAACUGUGCACAGAGUGACGGUAACGAAUAAGAAAGCCACGGCUAACUACGUG
rnacentral:rRNA from 1 species